GUGAAACGCGGUAACCUCCAUCCGGAGCAACACCAAAUAGGCAGGCGAUGAAGCGGCUCGCUGAGUCUGCGGGUAGGUGGCUUGAGCCGGUCAGCAAUGGCCGGCCUAGAGGAAUGGUUGCCCACGACAGAACCCGGCUUAUCGGCCCGCUUUUCCA
rnacentral:ncRNA from 2 species